rnacentral:rRNA from 1 species
UUGACCUCAAAUCAGGUGGGACU